UACAGAGGGUGCAAGCGUUAAUCGGAUUUACUGGGCGUAAAGCGUGCGUAGGCGGUUCAUUAAGUCGGUUGUGAAAUCCCUGGGCUUAACCUGGGAACUGCAGUCGAUACUGAUGGACUAGAGUACGGUAGAGGGUGGCGGAACUCCGGGUGUAGCGGUGAAAUGCGUAGAUAUCCGGAAGAACACCGAUGGCGAAGGCAACCACCUGGGCCUGUACUGACGCUGAGGCGCGACAGCGUGGGGAUCAAACAGG
rnacentral:rRNA from 1 species